rnacentral:rRNA from 1 species
UGCAUGCUUUUACAGUAUGAAAAUUGGUGAUUUAUAAUAACUUAGCAAAUCGCAAAGUGAAAACAGGCGAUAAAUCAUUCAAGUUUCUGACCUAUCAGCUUUCGACGGUAUGGUAUUGGCUUACCGUGGCAGUGACGGUUAACGGGGGAUUAGGGUUCGAUUCCGGAGAGGGAGCCUGAGAAACGGCUACCACAUCUAAGGAAGGCAGCAGGCGCGCAAAUUACCCAAUUCUAACAGUUUGAGAGAGGUAGUAACAAGAAAUAACAAUACAAGGCAGUUAAAAUGCUUUGUAAUUGGAAUGAUAGAAAUUUAAACCCUUUUUAAAGUAUCAAUUGGAGGGCAAGUCUGGUGCCAGCAGCCGCGGUAAUUCCAGCUCCAAUAGCGUAUAUUAAAAUUGUUGCAGUUAAAAAGCUCGUAGUUGAAGUUCUGCUAAAAGUAACCGGUCUGCUUUGAAUAAAAGUGGUAUCUUGGUAUGUAUUUAGCAAUGAUGUCCUUUGAAGUGUUUUUUACUUUAUUGUAAUAAAGCAUAUUCAGGACUUUUACUUUGAGAAAAUUAGAGUGUUUCUAGCAGGCCAACGCUUUGAAUACUGCAGCAUGGAAUAAUAAGGA